GGUGCGAUAGCCAAGUGGCCCAAGGCGGCGGUCUGCAAAACCGCUAUUCGUGGGUUCGAAUCCCACUCGCACCU
rnacentral:tRNA from 1 species